CGGGGGCGGCCAGGGGGUCCCGGUCCGCUACUGCCGGGCCCCGCCGCCGCCAGCGUCCAGGCGAUCGCCCGAGCCCCCACCGGCGCUCCCGUCCCGUGAUGUUCGUCAGCGGUGAGGCCUCGUCCCCCGCCGCGCCGCCUCUCAGGAGAGUCUCGCCGUGACCGUGUUUGAGUGCCCGCCGGACGGCCGCGGCAGCCCCGGUGCACGGCCCGGCCGUAGGACGCGCUAGCGGAGCGGAGCUCGCCGGGAGGAGGAAGGCGCUGCCCGCCCCAGAGGCGCCACGCUGAGCCAUGGCCGUGGCCGUCACCACGAAGACGGCAUGGAAGCUGCAAGAGAUCAUGGCCCACAGCAGCAAUGUGUCCUCAGUGGUCCUGGGAAAGGGCUCAGGCCGGAUGCUGGCCACUGGAGGAGACGACUGUCGGGUCAACAUAUGGUCAGUUAGCAAGCCCAACUGCAUCAUGAGCUUGACAGGUCACACAACCCCCAUUGAGAGCCUGCAAGUGAACCCAAAUGAGAAGCUCAUUGUGGCAGGGUCCCGCUCAGGGUCCAUUCGAGUCUGGGACCUGGAAGCUGCCAAAGUUCUUCGUACCCUACCAGGUCACAAAGCAAAUAUCUGCAGCCUUCAUUUCCAUCCUUUUGGAAGCUUUGUGGCAUCUGGCUCUUUGGACACCAACAUUAAGCUCUGGGAUGUAAGAAGAAAAGGCUGUAUCUUCACAUUCAAGGGUCACACAGAAGCAGUUCGGUGUCUCCGCUUCAGCCCUGAUGGGAAAUGGGUGGCCUCUGCUGCUGAUGAUCACACUGUAAAGCUGUGGGAUCUGACUGCUGGGAAGUUGAUGUUUGAGUUUACAGGACACACUGGCCCAGUAAACGUUGUUGAAUUCCAUCCCAAUGAGUACCUUCUGGCUUCUGGCAGCUCUGACAGGACUGUUCGGUUCUGGGACUUGGAGAAGUUUCAAGUUGUGAGCUGUAUUGAAGAGGAGGCCACUCCUGUCAGGUGUGUGCUCUUCAGCCCUGAUGGCUGCUGCUUGUACAGUGGCUUCCAGGACUCGCUGCGAGUGUACGGCUGGGAGCCAGAGCGCUGUUUUGAUGUGGUCUUGGUCAACUGGGGAAAAGUAGCUGACUUGUCUAUCAGCAACAACCAGCUGAUAGGAGUUUCCUUUGCACAAAGCACAGUCUCUUCCUUCGUUGUGGAUCUCAACAGAGUCCCAAAGUCAGAUUCUGUUCCUCAAGGGUUGAUCAGGGACGACCAGCCUCUUGUGCCACCUACCCCCACAGGGUCCUCCCUUCGCCGCAUCUAUGACAGACCCUCAACGAGCUGCAGCAAGCCACAGAGCAGAGUGAAGCACAACUCAGAGAGUGAGAGGCACAGUCCCAGCAGUGAAGAUGACCGGGAUGAGAAGGAAUCAAAGGCUGAGAUCCAGAACCAGGAGGAUUACAAAGAGAUCUUCCAGCCCAAGAAUGCAAUCUGUCGAACUCCUCCUCGAACUGAGCCCUUUCCUGCCCCUCCUGAGGAUGAGCCUGGAACUGCAAAGGAAGCAGUGAAGCCCAGCCAAGCUGUGGAUGUCCAGACCUCGCUGCCAAAGCAGGAGCUCCCCGAUCCAGUCCAGAGGCCACCGAAUCCCUCCUCAACUUCUUUGAGCAGAACAGAGCCAUCAGUGAUUCCUGCAGCCAGGAAUGAGCCCAUUGGCCUGAAAGCCUCUGACUUUCUCCCAGCUGUGAAGAACCAAAGCCAGACGGAGCUGGUGGAUGAGGAGGCCAUGUCCCAGAUCAGGAAAGGCCACGAGACCAUGUGUGUGGUGCUCACCAGCCGCCACAAGAACCUGGACGCCGUGCGCGCCGUCUGGAGCACCAGUGACAUCAAGAACUCUCUGGACUCUGCAGUGGCAAUCAAUGAUCUGUCUGUUGUCGUGGAUCUCUUGAAUAUUGUCAACCAAAAAGCGUCUCUCUGGAAGCUGGAUUUGUGUACCAUAGUCCUGCCACAGAUAGAAAAACUACUCCAAAGUAAAUAUGAAAGUUACGUGCAGACUGGCUGCACCUCCCUGAAACUCAUUCUCCAGAGAUUCCUGCCACUCAUCACAGACAUCCUCGCUGCACCACCUUCUGUUGGAGUGGACAUCAGCAGAGAGGAAAGGCUUCACAAAUGCAAGUUGUGCUACAAGCAGCUGAAAAACAUCAGCAACGUUGUCAAGAACAAGUCUGGGCUCAGCGGCCGCCAUGGUAGUGCCUUUCGGGAACUGCUGCUCCUCAUGGCUGUCCUGGACUAGCAGCCACCACCUCUUCAUGUACAAAUACAGGUGGCCAAGCUUCCCCUGCUCAUGGUCUGGCUGGAUUUCAGAUCUCUCCGUGUGUCCGUCCUUUCCCCCUGCCCCUCUCCAGCACGGUAGGGAAGUGCAAUCUGCCUGCCUGGUCGCCCAGCCAGCCCUGGUGCCUUAGGGGCUGGAUGGAGGACCCCAGUGGAGAGAUGUGUGUGCUGUGGGAGGGGCCCUGGCGGGUGCAGGGCCCCACAGAGCCCUGUAGGGAAGCUGCUUCAUUUCAGCUCUUCAUCUCAGCAUCCAGCUGUGGGCUGCUCUGUGUGCUGGCCUGUCCCUGCAGGAGGGCUCUGAGCCUGCUGUCACCCCUCCUUCCUGCUUGUGCUGUCGGUUCUUGCUGCCUGGCCCUGUGGGUCAGGGCCCUGCUCUCGCUGUGCAGCUGCUGAGGACUGCAGGCACCGCCCCACAAACGCCUGCUGUGGGGUGAUGCCUUCUCCAUACAGAAGGGACUUCAACUGCCAGGGGGGACCAGACCCUUUGGCUUCAUCUGACAUGGGCAAGGACACUGUGCCACUGUGCUGGUGCAUCUCAAGGAUCUGAACCAAGAGAUUUUCUCUUGGCUUCUCAGCCAUCCCUGCUGGCACCCAGGGCUGCAGAGGAGCAGUGUCUUCAGACUGUCCUUGGACCUGUUAAAACAUGUGACUUAAACAGGACUCGUCGUAUGUGCUUGCCUUUGGGGGUGAGGAUUUGGAAGGGUGGAGGAACAGAGGGACAUGGACUGAGUUAUGUCUUUCUACAUCCACUGGACCAUUCUUAGAGAAUACGCCGUGGAAGCGCGAGAGGAGAGAGUGGUGGAAAGAGCCAUCAGUGCAUCCAGCAGGGGCUUGCAGCAGGAGGAAAUGUACCCACAGGUGGCUCUUGAGAGGUCCAAGGGCAGUGUCAUCCCCUCCCAUGCUCCUGCCAACCACCAUCCCCAUACAUAAGCCAAGAGGCUUUUGGACUGGAGGUUUGGGGUCUUUUUGUUUGUUUUCCACUACUUUUCCAUUCCAAGACCAUGUAAACAGGUAUAAAUAUUUCAAACACUUUCAUCUCGA